rnacentral:rRNA from 1 species
AUACCGCCGUCGUCAGCCUACCCUAUGAAGGCCCCACAGUUAGCAGAAUUGGUAAACCCCAAAACGCCAGGUCGAGGUGUAGCAUAUGAGAGGGCAGAAAUGGGCUACACUCCUUAAUUAUAAGGGAAACGAACAACGUAUUGAAACAUACGAUUUGAAGGAGGAUUUAGUAGUAAGUAGAAAAUAGAGCGUUCUACUGAAUUCGGCCCUAAAGCGCGCACAUACCGCCCGUCACUCUCCCCAAGCGACCUAACUAACUAUUCAUAAUAAACCAUAACAGCAAAGGGGAGAUAAGUCGUAACAUGGUAAGUGUACCGGAAGGUGCACUUGGCUAAC